rnacentral:rRNA from 1 species
UACGUAGGGGGCAAGCGUUGUCCGGAAUUAUUGGGCGUAAAGGGCUCGUAGGCGGCUCAGUAAGUCGGGUGUGAAACCUCCAGGCUCAACCUGGAGACGCCACUCGAUACUGCUGUGGCUAGAGUCCGGUAGGGGAGCAUGGAAUUCCUGGUGUAGCGGUGAAAUGCGCAGAUAUCAGGAGGAACACCAGUGGCGAAGGCGGUGCUCUGGGCCGGAACUGACGCUGAUGAGCGAAAGCGUGGGGAGCAAACAGG